UUCUCCCGAGCGAUUAGACGCCGAAGGUCGAGUCACUCGGCACGUUCUAAGUAGCGUGCUGUCCAGCCCAGUCCGACCACCAUUAUCAGUGACUGUUUGCGAAGAGCGUAUUGAUUUAUUUCUUUUUGCGCGGUUUUUCUUUUUUGUUUGUUCUGAACCUUACGUUCCCUCGGACAGUAGUAAAAGGGCGGGAUCGUAGAGGGCAAAGUAUAUGCGCCCCGGAGCUUGCGUUUGUUUAGCCGUGGCAGAUGAGUAAGUGGGCACUUGGCAGUGUCGUGGGUUGCCAGUUUUGUUACAAACACCUGCAAGAAUAGGCGCUUUGCAGCGUUGUUGGUGCGCCCGAUAGAAAAUUAAUUCGUAGUUACUUCGAUGGAGCUACCCAACCACAACCCACGACCACUACAAACGGUUGGGGAUGGUUGCGAUCGUUUAAUUACAACUACCAAUGGGAAUACAACAACAACUAAAAAACGCUCUAUGCAACUUCCAUCUCCACCACCCCUAGGGUUCUCCCUAGGAAUAUUCGAUCGUUCGCAGUGAUCACCUUCCCUAUCUAGCUGCCUGCCAGCUUCCGUCAGUGUGAUCGUGAAAAAACGUCAGUGUGUAAACGAUCAAUUCAAUCGAGCCGGUUCGUGCAAAGCGACAGUGCUGGCGGUGUGCUGCGAGCGUGCACCGGAACAUCAUUUGCAUCCCUCUUCAAACCUACCCCAGAUGGGUAGCCGAGGGAAGGGGGUAGGGGCGGGGGGGAGGGGGAGCAGGAAAGGGCAUAAAGUUAGGAACUAAAGUCAAACGAUGGAGCUGCAGUUCUAGUGUGAGUGUGUCGUAAAAGAUUUGCAGAAAAAACAAAAUCUAACUUGAGAGGUUUCCUGCGCGAAGUUAUCAGAUUGAAUGCUGAACGCACACCUAGGAAGCAUAUGAGCAUGUACAUGUGUGCCCGUCCGUUUUACUGCAGACAGCCAUUAUGUCACUUCAAACGGCAGCUAUUCUAUUAUUAAAUAAUCAAAGCUUCACCGAUAACGAUAGUCUUUGAGAAACUCAAACCGAAACGUUCCUCCCUCACACUAGUCUCCGUUCACACGAGAUGAGUGCAGCUACGCCAGAUAGCGACCGAUUGUUAUCGAUUGCAGUCGAGUGCAUGUGCACACGGAACCGGCCGGACGAAGCCGACUGUAUUUGUUUCCGUUGUUCCCACCACCAACAGCAGCAACACAGUGUGCUGCACGUCGCACAAACACCUCCUAACACACUAACUGACUACGAGGGGCCUGUGGUUGGCGGACUAAGUCGGUGUCGUGGACGACAGCAGCGACCGCAACAACCGCGACUUCACUUUAGUAAUCGGCGCCGCGUCACUCGCACUGCAGCGGCACGAGCGCGCUGUGUUGCAAUUAAGUGCACGAACAACGCAUCGCUUCACCGCACCAUGGUGUGUGUAAGUGCGCCCCAGAAGCGACAGUCCUCUCCAGCCAUCAUCAUCACCACGAGAUGAAGUCGUCGAGCGGUCGUUCUGGCACAGUUUCAAGAUCAAGUUCUAGGAUAGAGCAGUGGGUCGCGCGUUCUCCUAAACCGAGCGCGCAACCGUUCAAGGCCAUUCUCGGCGUACCGCUCAACAACACUCUCGCUCCGGGAACAGCAAGGGACACGGAGCAAGGAAGUACCGCAAAUCGUUUCGAACGGUCCAGGGCAGCGGUUUUUAAGACAUCAAGACGCCUGAUGCAUCUGGGGCUCGAACUGUUCGGGCACUGGCGAUGCUGGACAAUGGUAGGCAAUGGUUCCGGUGCAACGGUGCCACGGCAAUUGCGCGCUGAAAAGGACGUGGUCAUGUGGGUUUUGGGAGAGAUAGAUGCAUUAGCAUUUUUUGCGCAAUAGAAUUGAUCAAACGCAAACAGCCGCCCUAGUAUUGGACGGUCUCGGGACCAUGGCACAGGGGUGCUCGUUCAGAGAACGGUUGGCAUUUCAAUUAGGCGACGUUUAAUCGGUUUUGAAAUGGUUCUCUCCUGUGCUCUCGGGAUGAUGUAUCGGUGGUUUUAUACAUUCGCACAAGAGAAACAGUAGUUUGUAACAUUAUUACAAGAUUAAUUUACAUAUUUUUAAUGUUUCAAUGUCUCGAGUCUAAUAAUUUAUAGCUCUAAAGAAUGAUCCGGAACACGACAUGGCAGAGCAUAUUGAUGUGUUAGUAUUCUGUAUGUGAUCAAUAGGUAGGUCUUAAUCUCUAAAGGGGAUUCUUACAUUUUUAAACAACAUUCUGACUGUUCAGAUUUUUUUUUUAAAUGCUCGAUAAAAGACGGUUGUUUCGUAACGCGUGAAGUAAAUAAUAUAAACACGAUACAAAACUGCUUUAUAGCAGAUGAAUUAUAACAAUGAACGCAAAUGAACAUCAACUUCUUUCAUGCUUUCGUUCAUAAUCAAUCAAUUAUUUGAAUUAUUGCUAGAAUUGAGGUUGCAAUAUUGAGGUUUUCUUUAAUAUUUAAUAGAAGAGAAUUACUCAAAUUGUAUAUCAAUUUGAGUAUGGUUUUAGUCUUACUUUUUUCUUCUGUACUGUUGCAAUUAUCUUGGUCUGUAAUUUCUGGCUUUCUUGACUUCAGUUAUCCUAUGCUCUUGUCUGCUACCGGUCUGGAUCCUGAGCAUAAUUUUAUUCUGUUUAUCUUUUAUAAAGAAACCUCAAGAAACUUUAGUAAUUUUUUAUGAUAUCUGUUUCGGCGUAUAAGGACACUUUAUCAAGUUAAGCUUCUUGGCUACGUGCUUCUAUCACUGACUUAAAUUGUCGAGAGAAGAUAUUGCAUUCUUCCUUUAUUUUCAUCACGAGGGAAUGCAUUUCAAAUAUUAAUUGAAUAAAAUUUGAUCCACUCUACACUUUUUUCUGGAAAAAAAAUCACUCUGUUCAAAAAUCAUAUAAUAAAAUAAAUGAAAACCGAUUCAUUUAAUCUUUCUUAUUCCAUUCCUAAUAAGUUUUUUCCAAUUUCCUCGUAUAAGUCCUCACAAAAACAAUCAUUAUUGAAACCAUUUAACAAAGCUUCUUCGCAGAAAGUCAAAAAUGAGAUUAAUUAAAUUAGAAGCAGCCGUUUGCAUGCAUCUCGACGUUUCUACUAUUGGUUCACUUCGAACAGUCCAGAAACAAACAAAAAAGGCACAAGGAAAACGCAUAAUCACGUAAAAAGUGGAUCAAGCCGGAACGAUGAUGGAACAACCGGAAAAACAUCGUCCUUGCCUUACAUUUACCUAUUUCUGCCGGUUUGGUUCCUCCUGCUUCGCUUUACUUGUGGUUUUCCACUCCCUCCCACUGCCUGUGGUUCCCCACUCAGUCACUAGGGCUUGGGAAAAAUUUCCAGCAUUUUCCUUCGCGUUUACCCAUUUCCCGCAACGCGUUAGCCCACUUUGCGUGUGGGACACUGUGCAGCCGAUACAAAUCCCCCACUCGCUGUAGGAGGUGUUUGCGUACGUUUGCGGGUAGGCUCAUUCCAUUAGGGAGUCGAGUUUUCCUCAUGCCGGCUGGGCGACCGACCGAAACCGUACCCGAGAGCGGAUGGGCGGCAUGGGCCUGCGAAACAUGUUACGCAACGCAAACGGAGAAACGUUCGGGGUUUUUUUUGUUGCUUCCCUCAUCGUUCCGUGUGGCGCUGUGGUUGGGCAGGCUCGGUACAAUUUUCUUCCGGUCGUACCGAAGGAAAAUGGGGUGCACGAGUAUGCACUAGUUUUCCAUCCAACACUCGGCCCCAUCGAGAUUACUUUCUCAAGUACGUUUGAGUUUUUGGGCAUUUUUUUUUCGCAAGUCCUCACAGGACUUUGUGCCGUAUCUUCACUGAGCCGCUCACAUGAAUAGUCCGAUGUUAUCAGGUAGAUUGGGAAUCGUUUUCCAAAACAUGUGUACAAAUCCCAUCGAAAUCCCGUCUCAUGCACUCAUUGAAGUCACUUAGCUCUUCGGGCUUUAUCGGGCUAAAAGCAAACCGUAGUGAUGUAUCACCAUUUCGGAAGGUCUCGCAGGACUAAUUUCUUGGCUGAUUGAUGUCGAGUGAUCCGAGAUGGAUGAAAAUUGACCGACAGUGACAUGUUAAUACGGCAGAAUUUCUCAAGCCUCGGUCAAAAGAAAAAAGGUAUGAUGAUGCUGUUACUUUUCUGCCGAAGAGGAUUCAUGAGUCAUUUUUUUUUUUUGGUUAAGUUGAUUCGAACCCAAACGGGAUUCAUCGUACAGCUUUGUUUGUACUAGAGAGCCUUCGCCAAACAUUUCUGCUCCUCAGAUAUGAAAUAUGAAUAUCGUUCCAAACAUCGGCACAUUAUUCAUCUUCCUCAAAACAUCAUACCGCCACAAAAAAAGGGCUGCUAAUGUUGCGUUUUAGGGAUGGUGAAGCCUUUCAAAUACCACCCGCCGCUAGGUGCCCGAACCACCCGACACUUCGGCGAAUCGAUUUGAAGUUGAUUAAUCUUUCAAAAGCAAUCGAAUCUCGGAAUCUCGCACGCUGGAGAAACGUACCGUAGUCCUUGUUGUUGUUUUUUUUUCUUCUCUUCGGUCGAUAACGAUCGAACCAGCGACACUCGAAGGGCUCGAUGGGUUUGGAGUGGCGAACUACUACUACCACUAUCACCACUUCUACCUGGGAGGUUUUUUUUUUGGGGGGCACCCUGCUGCAAAAAGGGCCUGCCUUCUCUCUUUUUGUUUGUGUGUUUUGUAUAGGUGAGGGCGAUGCGGGGUUUGAAGGAAAAAUUAAAAGACAGAGAUUCCCGCAAGAUCUGAAGCAUCGGAAGAAAGUGAAUGGUUGAACAUGGACUCACUUCUUCUCUUCUCCGUCGCUCUGUCGUACUGCCGAAAUUGUGGCGAAGCGAAGCGUACCAAGUGCUCGAACCCCGAAAACUGGUCGCCGGUACUGCUGCUGCUGCUGGCUGCUGGCUGUUGGACGGAUGGCGAUGGCUGCGUGUCUUGAACACGUGGACUGGGCCUGGGCAACGUGUCUACCGAACGGCGUGGGAUAUUACUUUGUAGCCGUUGAUUUUGUUUUACCAUGGAUAAGGUUCCAUCAUUUGUUUUGCUAAUUAUGGCUGUCGGUUAGGGGUGGUUUUGCUUUGUAAAUUAUGCCUCUAAUUUUCAUGUCUUUGUGUCUUUAAAUAUGGUUUUCAGUCAAGUAGAGAGUUUUCAAUGUUUAUAAAAUCAUGCCCCUUUUGAUAAGUUUUUCUUUUAUCUCUACCUGUUUGAGCUGAACCUUUGUGAUCCAAUUAAAUAAUUUAUUUACUUCAACUUAUAAAUCAGUUCUUGGAACACCUCAAUUUCAACCUCAAAACCUCUCUUCUUCUCGAAGCGAAGCGAAAAAUGUAUCUCUUUUCGAUCGACCGUCGGAAGAUGGUGGAGUAUGAUUUUGUAGUUAAAUGGAAAACUCAUGUCGAUGAAACGCACAAAGUUCAGCCACCUUUCCUUGCUGACGGCAUACGGCCGGCUAAUUGUGCCGUCGGGUCAUCCACGGAAACGCAUCACCAUUUUUUGGCUGGGCAGCAUCAUCACCGCACCACCAAGUAGGAAAUGCUCAUUUCCUUUACCAGUUUUUUUCUUUUGCUCGUCAUUUCUUUUCGGAGGAGGUCAAUCACCUAGCGCCGAUCGAUCGUCGAUCAUCAAUCACGAAUCAACGAGCCUGUGGCAUUCGGAAAAUUGCUCUCGCUGUAGACGAAACGGGCGAUUGGGUGGCGAUUUGCCGGUUGCGGAAGAAGAAAAGCACAACGCGACGGAAAGUCCUCCCACAUUCACCUUUCGUAAUGAAUUUCCUUAGCCGCGAUGAGAAAGGGAAAGAUAAGCCGGAAUGCCGAAAACUGCCAGCGUUCGAUCGGUUCGGUGCGUACGGUGCAGACGCAUGUGAUCGAACGGAUUUUUCUCCGCACCCACAUUUUCAAACCAACCAGGUAAAUGUGAUUUAACAGCGGCGGCCGAAAAGCGGCUGCGCGUCUGGCUGGCUCGGUACACACGCGGAAAGGAAGUUCAAAAAAAAAAAUCAGCCCAAAAACCGCACCGAAUUUGGUGGAAAACGGCGCCGCAGCGAGACGAGUAAAAGCUGGCCCGGGAAGGCAAGGUAAUAAGUCAAUUAAAAUCUCUUCUCGCCACCGUGCAAUCGGCGGAACCACCGAGCCACUUUUCGGACGCACCAAAACUUCAGCUUUUCCGACCGUUUCCCCUAGGCCCGUGAUCGCGUUCCGCGAUCCCUUCCGACCCGGCGGCUGUGGCUGUGCGGAAAAAUGCGUGAAAGGAGACGAGCCAAACACCCGAAAACGUACGCCCGGGGAGUGCAGAUUUAGUGUUUUGUGAGUGAAGAGCGAACAAAAAAAAAAUGACGGCCCAGACACACCGACCCGCAGCGACUUACCACAGCGCCCGUAAAAAGCGAUUCGAUAAAGUCCCGUAGCAGAGCGAGCGAAAGAGAGCGAGAACGAGCCCGAAAAGCCAUUUCGCUAGGCGUCCGCCGAAAAACACACACACCAACCAACGGCGCGAAGGAAAGAGAAACCAAACCUGCCGAAAAUCGAGUUUCGGCGGGAUGGGAAUGUUAAUGGGCGGUGUGAGGCGGUGCUGCCAAUGGGGGAAUGGUCGAAAUUUCACUUUUACAAAACGAAAUCGAAAGUUGUUCCAAAGUUCGGCAUGUCUGGGUACGCGCGCCCGGAGAUCGUGUCUGGAUGGUCCGUUGAUGGUCUGGUCGCCCCGUGUCGUGAUCUUGUAGGGUAGGUUUUAUUGCUUCAGCGUGUGUGUGUGUCUAUGUGUAUGUAGUGGUGGAGGAUAUGCCAUGUCUUAGAGACAUGUUUUAGAGCAUUUGCAGAGACGCGUGUAGUGUGUGGCACGUGCCAGGCUGCUUUACGACCAAUAUAUGUGUACCGACUGUGAACGGGGAAGGUAUUACCGGGUGUCGGAAAUGAUUGGGUUGGGUGGGAUUGAAUUGCGGACUGUCUGGAUGUAAUUUAUCAAUCAUGAAGUGAGAUUUGUUUCAAAUCCCUUUCGAGCUAAAGAUAUCAACUCGAAUUCUACAUGGACUUUUAAAUAGUCAUGUUGUAGAAAGUGCUAAAGUAGAAGAGUAUCUGAUUCGAUCUAGUGGCUGAGACUUUAGCAGUGUCUGUCCACAUGGCGAUUUAAAACGAUCUCCGAAGUUGGAUGAUCGGUUGGAUUCUUCUUGAGGCUUUAGAGGCGUUAGACUGUAUCUUUCUCUUGAAGAUUAUUGAGACCAAAAUUGAGCAAGAAUAUCAAUCAUGCGUAAAUAAUAUACUCCAGACUUGGGCGGUCCGGUGGCCGAGGCGAUAACGGCGCCGGUCUUUGCACGGCCGGACUGAGGUUCAAAUCCCGUCCAGAAGACCGCCUCCCCGUACGCAGUACUGAUUUUUCAGCUAUGGGUAAACAAAGUCACAGGAAGAAAUGGCAGACCGAGACCGCUGGAGGUUGUAAUGCCAAGGAAGAAGAAGAAAUAAUAUACUUUUAUUAAGGAUUUUUGUAUUGAAUGGCCUUAUUUCCUAAGGAGCCAUCCAACAAUUUAUCGUCUUUGGUAUGCUAUUUUGUUUAAGAUCAUUUUUAUGCAUGAAGAAUCGCGUUAAAUUAAUUUGAACCAGCUCUAGCCAAGACAUUAGAUGCUCAACUAAAGCUACAGUUGAUGCUUUAUUCGUAUUGUGAUUGUUACUCCUGCAUGUAAGGAGGCAGAUUCUGACCGAUGAUUAUAAUCUUCACUUCGAUAAUUAUACCGUCUGACCCCUGAAUAAAUACAAAUAUAUAUGGGCAUAGAGGGAAGCAAUAGAGGCAAUAGAGGGAAGAGUCGCCGGGUCCAAACUUAGAUUUUAUCGUAGACCUAAUUCCUGAACCAGAGUAUCUGUCUAAAUGGUUAUUUAUAUCCUGAAGAAGUUCAGCAUUUCUGCAAAACCAAAAAACCAAACAGCAGUUACGCAGCACAAACUGAGCACCCGUUUCUGUGUCGUCUAAGUGAUCAUUCAAUCAUUCAGUGCAGGAGUUGGCACUUUUUGAAAGUUAUCGAAAGUCUCCCAAAUGUCCCCAAAUGCUAGUAGAAUAUUUGAGACUAACAUCUACUGGAACUUUUUUUGUUCGCGCUAAGUGAAACAAAAUCAGGAUCAGGCCACUAAUCAGAAUUCAUCACAACAUUGAGAUUAAGAUGGUAAAUGUUUCGUUUUAAGCAAUUCUUCACGCUUUCAACAAGGCAAUUUGAAAUCGAAAAUAUAUGUAAAGCUCAUGACUAUAGCCAUGGCCAAGGUGUCAGCAAACUUCCACAAGGCAUUCUUGGAAGAAGGAGUAUUAGUUUCGUAAAAUGCUUCCAGGAUGUGAUAAUCCAGUAAAUAAAAUUACUGAGCACUUUGCAGUAUUUGUGUAUUCAUCGUUAUCGGAAGUUAGUCUUCUGCAAAUGAUAAAUUAUUUGCUUCAAUUUCGUUAAAAAAAUUACUUUAGAUCAAGCUUACUGAUUGGGUGAGAAUGCUCAUUAUUGUCAGCAAUCCUGUUUCGAGAUACAGUCACCUCUCGCUCACAGUAAUCCAUGACAAAGACUUGACUUAUCUACUGACCGUUAACGAGAGCAAUCAGCAAAGGCAGUAAUCACUUGCUAAACCCCAAAAUAAUUGGCACAGGCAGCUUACGGUUGUGAUUCAAGCGAAUGGCAGCAAUCACCCCAUAUGUCAUCAUUAAUUUCAAAAAACGAUUUUUCAAUCGAUCACCAUUUCCUUUGUUCGCUAUAUGAGUGACCUUUACAGUGCAUUUGCUUUGUUUUCCUUAUUUUCCCGGAGUGUUCCCUCGACAGCAACCGGAAUGACAGUUUUCCACGAUCCGAAGGAAAAACCUCAUCACCUUGUUUGCUACCACACACACCAGACACACACCAUCGGAGCUGAUUAUUAUUUCGAGCUCUAAUUGGAUUAUCAUCGACGGGUACGAAGACACGGGCGUGCGUUGGUGGCGGUUUACCAGCAGUGCGUCGACGGUCAUCGAAACCACGUUGGCAAUUGGCUUAAGGGCUCCCGAUCCGGUUGCCAUGGCCCAGCCUCACGUGGCUUGCGGUGUCCCAGGCGCAUUAGUUGCACUUUCUUGCAACCCCCCGUUCCGUUCGCGGUUUUCCACCGGUUUGGUACUAUUCUAAUUUUCCCUUAACAGUUUGUUGCUGUUUUCUUGGUCGUUAGCACGGAAGCGUUCGGUGGGUAUUAUAGACACCGAAGGAUAAGAAUCCGUCUUAAAUGUCAAGCGAAAAUAGCGUUGCGGUUUAAUGCCUGUUGCCUGUUGCACUUUGGGCCAACUGGAUGUGGGUGUGUGUGUGUCCUACACACAGAAAGAGAAAGAAGUUCAAAUGCCAUUUCAAUGCCAAGCAUGUGUUAAUUUGUCGUCGCUGGUGUUGGAGUGUAUGGAGCAGGAUAUUGGUUUAAUUAUUCCCAAUUAGCAGUCUUUUGCGUUGAUUAACGUGUAGCUGUCAUAAAAUAAUGCUCCAAUUUUCGUGUUAAAUUGUGGUGACGAGAAGAGAUAUUUCUUAUUUCUCCAAUAUAAAUCGCAAGCUCACUAAAUUACGAUUAACCUAACUUGCAACUCACGAAAGCUCAUCUCCCGGAUACGGUCAAACCGGAUCGCAUCAACUCGUUCGGCAUUAGAAUAUUUAGCUUGAUUGUGAACUUCAUUUGGAUCCAGUCGACUUCCAGAACUCGAUUACGCAGGAAUGUUUUGUUUGGCACCGUGGGGUUUGUUGUUGUUUUUCGUUCCCGCUCCGUAUCAGCUAGUGCAUGCACGGCUCAUCCGGCCCGGUCUACACGUUCAGCCUCAUAAAUCUAUUUGAGAAUUCGUGCCAUUCAACCAAAGUGCAAAUGCAAUUUCUUUGAGUUGAAAACAAUUGCUGCCAAGUGCCCCGAAUGGCUCUUCGGUUCAUUCCAACCCCCAGGCCAACCCUUUUCUUUACGUAGCGAUGGAAAUUGAAGUAAACUAUUACAUCUACAUGCGCACGGCACACAAUAUAAAAUAACACGGCAGCAGACGCUUACUUCCGCUCAAUCUGGCCAGCAUCCGAUCGGUUUGGAGGACCGCGCCGGCAGUACGUUUACGAUUAGCAUAUUUAUAAAUUUUCAUAUCUGUUGCCGGUGUUUCCACGCCCUUGCAAGGAAGGCGGUGUUGGCCGACGGUCUUCGAGGACUUAUUUUUCUAUUGCACUAGGUGACCAUGAGAAGGUGGAUACUGAAUGCGCUUUUGGUGUGUUGAUUGAAGCAGUGCUGAGACAAUGUGGCGAAUUGUUGUAGACAAAUAAAUGAUAUUCUAUGGACAUCUUGAAGAAUUCCUUGGACCGAUAAGUUCAUGGGCAAAUGAGCAAAUACUUGAAUACAAACCAAACUAGCACUCGAAACGGUUGCUAGAAUCAAUACAUUAGGCAAACAGACAUUGAAAAGUCUCUUCAACUUUGCUUUAUCAUUACCCAGACGCGCAGUUGGGAUAUUCAAGAAAACAUUGGAGGGAAGCGAAAUAGCCAUAAGAAUAUCCCAUUUUAAAGACAUUAAUAAAUUUAACCUUAUCUGGUUAUUUGGUCCCUUUUCAUCAAUUUAUGUCUCCAAGGAAUUACACUUAUCGUCACUAGCAAACAUCCUAUUAACCUAAUUCAUCAUCACUACCACCAAAACUCGCCGUCAAAC